rnacentral:rRNA from 1 species
CUACGGGUUGCUGCAGGCGAGAAAACUUUGCAAUGUGCGAAAGCACGACAAGGUUAAUCCGAGUGGUUUCUGCUAAAGGAACCUUUUGUCGGUCCUAGAAACACCGAUGAAUAAGGGGUGGGCAAGUUCUGGUGUCAGCCGCCGCGGUAAAACCAGCACCUCAAGUGGUCAGGAUGAUUAUUGGGCCUAAAGCAUCCGUAGCCUGCUUUGUUAGUUUUCGGUUAAAUCUGUACGCUCAACGUACAGGCUGCCGGGAAUACUGCAAAGCUAGGGAGUGGGAGAGGUAGACGGUACUCGGUAGGAAGGGGUAAAAUCCUUUGAUCUAUUGAUGACCACCUGUGGCGAAGGCGGUCUACCAGAACACGUCCGACGGUGAGGGAUGAAAGCUGGGGGAGCAAACCGGAUUAGAUACCCUCGUAGUC